rnacentral:rRNA from 1 species
AUUGAACGCUGGCGGCGUGCCUAAUACAUGAAAGUCGAGCGAAGCGGGGACGGGUGAGUAACACGUGGAUAAACUCCUUUAAUACUGGGAUAACUUAGGGAAACCGGAACUAAACCGGCGACUUAUAGAUGGAUCCGCGCUGCAUUAGCUAGUUGGUAAGGUAACGGCUUACCAAGGCAACGAUGCAUAGCCGACCUGAGAGGGUGAUCGGCCACAUUGGAACUGAGACACGGUCCAGACUCCUACGGGAGGCAGCAGUAGGGAAUCUUCCGCAAUGGGCGAAAGCCUGACGGAGCAACGCCGCGUGAGUGAUGAAGGUUUUCGGAUCGUAAAACUCUGUUAUUAGGGAAGCGGUACCUAAUCAGAAAGCCACGGCUAACUACGUGCCAGCCGCCGCGGUAAUUC